CCUUUUUUAUUAUUAUAAAUUCGGCAACCCCAUAGGUGGCGAUGUACGCCCGCGAGUCGCCAAUGAGCCAAGGGAUGAAGAAGUCCUCAGGGCAAGAUGUGGUAGAGUGAUGGUUGAGAGUGCAAUCUAUUCUGCUUACCCGACUCAUGCAGACUUCUGUCCUGAUGUUUGGCUGUAGUCCUUCCAUCAUCCAGUCUUUUGCAACCGGUCUAUUUAUGGAGACCACCAUGAUCUAAUCUAUACAGAUCUAGUUGUCUCUUCUCCCACAAACUCCUCUUUCAGAUUUUGAGCGGAUCUCCUUCAUUCUGCAGCCAGCUCACCAGAACCUCUGGGUGCACCAGCUGUGGAUAUUACAGGCCAAACUUUGGACACCCUAGGACAACAUCCUUAGCACAGAUCUACCUAUAGCCCUCCAUCAUUCCCACAUCCAUCUUGCAACAGUUUCAUUAACUGCAGUCCAUAACCAGUUCACGGUCUACACCUUGUCCAUUGCAAAUGUUAUGGAUUAUUCUAAUAGAGAUCUUUCUAUUAUUUUUUUUGAGACAGUUAUUAUGUACUCUGUUAUGUUGUGAAUAAAGUCUGCCCCCCCCCCCCACCUCGAUGCUUUCAGCAGUUAAUAGAUUAAAGUGUGUCCUUAAUGUUUUAUUAUUUAAAGAUUGUUUUAAAGUUUAUUACAGGCUCAGUUUAUUUUUUUUCACUAGAAAAUAAAGUGGAGUAUUAACUGUCAUAAUCAAGUAUGAGACUUUUGUCAGUAUCAUUAAUUCUAUGAGGCAAUAUGAAUCAAAUUAACAUUUGUAUAGGGUUUUCAUCCGAAGGCUUCUUCCUCAUUCAGUUAAACAUCAAGGGUUUUCUAUGCUUUUGUCACCUUUUACUUUCUCAUUGGAAAUUAUGAGCAUCAUUAUUUGGAAGAAAAUAAGAAUAUGAAAAUGGCUUUGAUUUCAAUGUAUUGAAUGGAAUCAAAGAACCACACAAACCUUUGACCUUCACACAGAUAUUGUAUAAAUUAAAGUGUUACUCAAAUUAUCAAGCUUGUAAUGUUUGUGUUUAAUGUGUGUUUAUAGUUAUGGUUGUAUUUGUAUUUUAUUAUAAAUGCAUGUGUCUAGUUGGACGCGAGCGGAGCGAUGCAACGCAAUAAGAUAAUCACUGAUAUCGCCUACACACACUGGAUGCGGGCGAAUUGACAAAUCCCCGUCAGAAAAAAAUAUUCAUCUUUAUAUUUCUGGCAUAGCUCUUUGCAACAACGGUCGCGUCUGUGUGACAUGGUAGUGCUUGCUCCGAUCGGCGCUGCGUGGCAGCACGUAAUUUGAAAUGUUGAAGAUUCAUCGUAUAGACGUCGUAUAGAGGUAAAGGAGACGGCUCAUUAACAGCUAAAAACAUU